GGGGCUGUAGCUCAGUGGUAGAGUACUUACCUGGCAUGCAGGAGGCCCUGAGGUCACUCUCACACCCCCA
rnacentral:tRNA from 1 species